rnacentral:rRNA from 1 species
UACGUAGGGUGCGAGCGUUAAUCGGAAUUACUGGGCGUAAAGGGUGCGCAGGCGGCCAAGUGUGUUAGGCGUGAAAGCCCGGGGCUUAACCCCGGAAUUGCACCUAAAACUACAUGGCUAGAGCAUUGGAGAGGGUAGCGGAAUUCACGGUGUAGCAGUGAAAUGCGUAGAUAUCGUGAGGAACACCAGAGGCGAAGGCGGCUACCUGGACAAUUGCUGACGCUCAGGCACGAAAGCGUGGGGAGCAAAAGGG